AGACACGCCCAGGCAGGGAAGAGCUCCCUGAAUCUUGGAACAGGCUACUCUUCAUUCCCUUUCUGCCGACCAAUUCGAUCCACAACGAGAAGAAGAUUAGCAGCCUGAGAGUUCAAAUCUCCCCAAAAGAAAGCAAAGCUAGCUGAAAUCAAGUGAAAGAAAUAUGUCAGGUUUCUCUUACCUCACCAAAGGGACAGGAAAGGAAAACCCUCUUCCUCUCAAGAUGCAGAUCAUGAGAUGUUCAAAUGUGAAUGCCACUGCUGCCAGAACUAGGUGGAAAAAACAUCCGGGAUGUCUGCUGGAACCAGAAUGGAAG
rnacentral:lncRNA from 1 species